GCAAUCCCCCCUAGAGCGGCGGACUGGUGAGUAACACGUGGGUGACCUGCCUUUGUCUUGGGGAUAGCCAUUAGAAAUAGUGGGUAAUACCGAAUACGCUUGCACACGUAGAGGUGUGUAAGGAAAGGCGCUACGGCGCCGGACGAAGAUGGGCCCGCGUCCCAUUAGCUAGUUGGUGAGGUAACGGCUCACCAAGGCGAUGAUGGGUAGGCGGCCUGAGAGGGUGUACGCCCACAUUGGGACUGAGAUACGGCCCAAACUCCUACGGGAGGCAGCAGCUAAGAAUAUUCCGCAAUGGACGAAAGUCUGACGGAGCGACGCCGCGUGGAUGACGAAGGCCGAAAGGUUGUAAAAUCCUUUUGCUGGGGAAGAAUAAGCAUGGGAGGGAAUGCCCGUGUGAUGACAUGAACC
rnacentral:rRNA from 1 species